rnacentral:pre_miRNA from 1 species
AUUCUACUCCCUCCAUUCCAUAAUACAUGCCUUCUAUUUGUCAAAAUAUAGAUGUAUCUAGACAUGUUUUAGUAUAUAGGUACAUCCAUUUUUGGACAAAUGGAAGUCAAGUAUUUUGGAACGGAGGGAGUACACA